GCUGCUGUAGCUCAGUCGGUAGAGCGCGUCCUUGGUAAGGACGAGGUCCUGGGUUCAAAUCCCAGCAGCAGCUCCA
rnacentral:tRNA from 2 species